rnacentral:tRNA from 1 species
UGGGGUGUAGCUCAGUGGUAGAGCGCUUGCCUUGAAUGUGUGAGGCACUGGGUUCCAUCCUCAGCACCACAC